CUCGACGGUACCGACAGAAUAAGCACCGGCUAACUCUGUGCCAGCAGCCGCGGUAAUACAGAGGGUGCGAGCGUUAAUCGGAAUUACUGGGCGUAAAGCGUGCGCAGGCGGUUAUAUAAGACAGAUGUGAAAUCCCCGGGCUCAACCUGGGAACUGCAUUUGUGACUGUAUAGCUAGAGUACGGCAGAGGGGGAUGGAAUUCCGCGUGUAGCAGUGAAAUGCGUAGAUAUGCGGAGGAACACCGAUGGCGAAGGCAAUCCCCUGGGCCUGUACUGACGCUCAUGCACGAAAGCGUGGGGAGCAAACAGGA
rnacentral:rRNA from 1 species